YAUAAUUCUCCUGGAAUGGAGUGUCAUAGAGGGUGAGAAUCCCGUUKUUGACAUGGACUACCWKUGCAAUUGUGAUGCGCUCUCAAAGAGUUGAGUUGUUUGGGAAUGCAGCUCAUAAUGGGUGGUAAAUUCCAUCUAAAGCUAAAUAUUGGCGAGAGACCGAUAGCGAACAAGUACCGUGAGGGAAAGAUGAAAAGAACUUUGGAAAGAGAGUUAAAUAGUACGUGAAAUUGUUGAAAGGSAAACACUUGAAGUCAGUCACAUUAAUCAGAGAUCASUUCUGCUUAUUACAUUUGCAGAGCGUAUUCUCUGUACAUUAAUGKGUCAGCAUCAAUUCUGACUGCUGGAAAAAGACUAAGAAAAUGUAGCAUCAAUUAGAUGUGUUAUAGUUCAUAGUUGUAUACAGCAGCUGGGAUUGAGGAACUCAGCAUGCCUUUAUUGGCAGGGUUAUUUUAUAACCACAUUCAUGCUUAGGAUGCUGGCGAAAUGGCUUUAAUUGACCCGUCUUGAAACACGGA
rnacentral:rRNA from 1 species